UACGUAGGUGGCGAGCGUUGUCCGGAUUUACUGGGCGUAAAGGGAGCGUAGGCGGACUUUUAAGUGAGAUGUGAAAUACUCGGGCUCAACUUGAGUGCUGCAUUUCAAACUGGAAGUCUAGAGUGCAGGAGAGGAGAAUGGAAUUCCUAGUGUAGCGGUGAAAUGCGUAGAGAUUAGGAAGAACACCAGUGGCGAAGGCGAUUCUCUGGACUGUGACUGACGCUGAGGCUCGAAAGCGUGGGGAACAAACAGG
rnacentral:rRNA from 1 species